rnacentral:rRNA from 1 species
AGAACUUAGCAGAGAUGCUUUGGUGCCUUCGGGAACUCUGAGACAGGUGCUGCAUGGCUGUCGUCAGCUCGUGUUGUGAAAUGUUGGGUUAAGUCCCGCAACCGAGCGCAACCCUUAUCCUUGUUGCCAGCGGUUAGGCCGGGAACUCAAAGGAGACUGCCAGUGAUAAACUGGAGGAAGGUGGGGAUGACGUCAAGUCAUCAUGGCCCUUACGAGUAGGGCUACACACGUGCUACAAUGGCGCAUACAAAGAGAAGCGACCUCGCGAGAGCAAGCGGACCUCAUAAAGUGCGUCGUAGUCCGGAUUGGAGUCUGCAACUCGACUCCAUGAAGUCGGAAUCGCUAGUAAUCGUGGAUCAGAAUGCCACGGUGAAUACGUUCCCGGGCCUUGUACACACCGCCCGUCACACCAUGGGAGUGGGUUGCAAAAGAAGUAGGUAGCUUAACCUUCGGGAGGGCGCUUACCACUUUGUGAUUCAUGACUGGGGUGAAGUCGUAACAAGGUAAGCGUAGUGCU